rnacentral:tRNA from 1 species
ACAUUCGUGGUUCAGUGGCAGAAUUCUUGUCUUCCAUAUGGGAGACCCGGGUUUGAUUCCCAGCCAGUGCA